rnacentral:lncRNA from 1 species
GAAACUCUUUGCACACCACUUUUAUCCACUUAACAUGGGAUCAUCUUGGUGGAGAUGAUCAUCAUGAUCAUUAACUAAAGGCUUGACAACCUCCAUGUGAUCCUCCCCUUGGUAAUUUUCACCCUAGCUUAUUGUAUGAUUAGGCCAUCUAUGUGCCAAAUCUAUCAGAUUGAUCAAAAGGCUAGGUUUGAUUUUACCCGAGUAAAAAGACAUGACAUUUCUAGUAUGACAAGGAUAUGGCCACAAAGGGAAGCAAAGAGGGGCAGUAAUAUAACUCACAGGUAGAGAAACAAACCAAUAACAAUUAAUUACAUAGAGAUUAAUUAAGAAAAUGAUUCUUCUAAUUGGAGUGAUUAUCACAUUGAAGA